rnacentral:pre_miRNA from 1 species
AGUGGGAUAGCUGGGUCAAACAGUGGUUCCAUUCCAAGUUUUCUGAGGAAUCUCCAUACUGCUUUCCAUAGUGGUUGUACCAUUUUGCAGUCUCACCAGCAAU